UCCGUUGCCGUUGUCUUUUGUCUCACCCAAAUUAUGGCUUAGUAGCUGCUCCAUCUGGGUCUAGCAAUGGUGCUUCCUCAGUCGAACACCGGUAUCUUCGUUGGGCUCAACAAAGGGCACAACAAUGUGAAAUCCCUGAGAAUGGAUUCUUGUUUAAUUCUUUAGUUGGAAAUUGGGGGAAUAUAUAUUUGUUUUCUAUUUUACAAGAUGGGAUGAUUGUUUGCACACAAGAGAUUGAUUUAUGAUUAGAUCAAAUGACUACUUUUAGAUGGAGACAUGGAACGGCCGCUGAUUGACUUUGUGAGUUUACUGUGACGAGUUGGAUGGUAUGUUUAAAUGCAAGCUAUUAACCACACUUUGAGGCAAAAGAUCCCCGACCUCAAAUCGCCGAGACUUUCGGCUUUGUUAUGUUGUUGUUGUAUUAACCACGUUUGAACUUAGCAACUUCAAGUUGGCAAGAAUUGUUAUUUAUGUGUUCUUUCCUUGAGUUUCAUACGAUAUUGUUGAAACAAACCAUGACUGUGUAUUAUAGACCAUGGAAUUCUUGCUAUACACUUUGUUACUGAUAUAGAAAUUGUACUUGCAAUAUAGAAUCCUCUCUGAUGUCUUGCAUCAUCAUCUACUUGAGAGGAACAGGUAGCUAGCUAUAUUAUAAACCAGUUAAUGCAGAACAAAUCAGAAAGUUGCUAAUAUUUCUAACUAUAUAUAACCUGAUUCGGAAUUGUAGUUAUCUUCUUUUCUUUUUGAUUUUUUCUUUGCCUUGGAUAUUAGUUCUUGUUAUACAAUCUAAAUGACAGAUAUGAUGUUUUCUUUUUAAAAGUCAAUGGAUGAAAGCUGAUCAAUACUUUUUUUUCUACCAUAUGCUUCCGACUUCUAUUUCUUGCUAGUUGCAUACAGUAAAAUGACAAUUAUACUCCAGAAAUCUAGCGAGAGGGUUUAUUUAUCAGGAACUUGAUCAGGGAAGUGGGUUGCUUUGUCCCAUAUGAGAAGAGGAUCACUGAGCUUCUGAAAGUUGCUAAGGACAACAUGAACUGAAAGUUGCAAAAAGAAUGCUGGGAACUCGAGAAAGAGCCAAGAGAAGAAAGAGGAGAUGGCUGAUGUGCUUCGGGUGAUGAGGUCUGCUGGAGCGAGUGAUAAAACGAAAUGAUGACACGACACCUUCUCCGACCCUUCGGAUUUUCCAUAGACAGAAUUUAGGCAGCUGGAUUGACAUCUGGUUAAAUGUUUGUUUACUUGGAGACUUCUUGCUUAGAGAUUUUUUUUUUUUCCGUUGUUGUAGCUUUACAAAUUUCGACGAUCAUUAUCCCAUUGUUGAUGUUUUCUGCUUACUGUUCUUCGAAUCGAACAGUGGAUAAUCUAGAGUUUAUUACAUGCGCUUUGGCA